UUAAGUUAUUAAGGGCGCACGGUGGAUGCCUUGGCACUAGAAGCCGAUGAAGGACGUUACUAACGACGAUAUGCUUUGGGGAGCUGUAAGUAAGCUUUGAUCCAGAGAUUUCCGAAUGGGGAAACCCAACAUGAGUUAUGUCAUGUUAUCGAUAUGUGAAUACAUAGCAUAUCAGAAGGCACACCCGGAGAACUGAAACAUCUUAGUACCCGGAGGAAGAGAAAGAAAAUUCGAUUCCCUUAGUAGCGGCGAGCGAAACGGGAAGAGCCCAAACCAACAAGCUUGCUUGUUGGGGUUGUAGGACACUCUAUACGGAGUUACAAAGGACGACAUUAGACGAAUCAUCUGGAAAGAUGAAUCAAAGAAGGUAAUAAUCCUGUAGUCGAAAAUGUUGUCUCUCUUGAGUGGAUCCUGAGUACGACGGAGCACGUGAAAUUCCGUCGGAAUCUGGGAGGACCAUCUCCUAAGGCUAAAUACUCUCUAGUGACCGAUAGUGAACCAGUACCGUGAGGGAAAGGUGAAAAGCACCCCGGAAGGGGAGUGAAAUAGAACCUGAAACCGUGUGCUUACAAGUAGUCAGAGCCCGUUAAUGGGUGAUGGCGUGCCUUUUGUAGAAUGAACCGGCGAGUUACGAUUUGAUGCAAGGUUAAGCAGUAAAUGUGGAGCCGUAGCGAAAGCGAGUCUGAAUAGGGCGUUUAGUAUUUGGUCGUAGACCCGAAACCAGGUGAUCUACCCUUGGUCAGGUUGAAGUUCAGGUAACACUGAAUGGAGGACCGAACCGACUUACGUUGAAAAGUGAGCGGAUGAACUGAGGGUAGCGGAGAAAUUCCAAUCGAACCUGGAGAUAGCUGGUUCUCUCCGAAAUAGCUUUAGGGCUAGCCUCAAGUGAUGAUUAUUGGAGGUAGAGCACUGUUUGGACGAGGGGCCCCUCUCGGGUUACCGAAUUCAGACAAACUCCGAAUGCCAAUUAAUUUAACUUGGGAGUCAGAACAUGGGUGAUAAGGUCCGUGUUCGAAAGGGAAACAGCCCAGACCACCAGCUAAGGUCCCAAAAUAUAUGUUAAGUGGAAAAGGAUGUGGCGUUGCCCAGACAACUAGGAUGUUGGCUUAGAAGCAGCCAUCAUUUAAAGAGUGCGUAAUAGCUCACUAGUCGAGUGACACUGCGCCGAAAAUGUACCGGGGCUAAACAUAUUACCGAAGCUGUGGAUUGUCCUUUGGACAAUGGUAGGAGAGCGUUCUAAGGGCGUUGAAGCAUGAUCGUAAGGACAUGUGGAGCGCUUAGAAGUGAGAAUGCCGGUGUGAGUAGCGAAAGACGGGUGAGAAUCCCGUCCACCGAUUGACUAAGGUUUCCAGAGGAAGGCUCGUCCGCUCUGGGUUAGUCGGGUCCUAAGCUGAGGCCGACAGGCGUAGGCGAUGGAUAACAGGUUGAUAUUCCUGUACCACCUAUAAUCGUUUUAAUCGAUGGGGGGACGCAGUAGGAUAGGCGAAGCGUGCGAUUGGAUUGCACGUCUAAGCAGUAAGGCUGAGNUGAUGGCGUGCCUUUUGUAGAAUGAACCGGCGAGUUACGAUUUGAUGCAAGGUUAAGCAGUAAAUGUGGAGCCGUAGCGAAAGCGAGUCUGAAUAGGGCGUUUAGUAUUUGGUCGUAGACCCGAAACCAGGUGAUCUACCCUUGGUCAGGUUGAAGUUCAGGUAACACUGAAUGGAGGACCGAACCGACUUACGUUGAAAAGUGAGCGGAUGAACUGAGGGUAGCGGAGAAAUUCCAAUCGAACCUGGAGAUAGCUGGUUCUCUCCGAAAUAGCUUUAGGGCUAGCCUCAAGUGAUGAUUAUUGGAGGUAGAGCACUGUUUGGACGAGGGGCCCCUCUCGGGUUACCGAAUUCAGACAAACUCCGAAUGCCAAUUAAUUUAACUUGGGAGUCAGAACAUGGGUGAUAAGGUCCGUGUUCGAAAGGGAAACAGCCCAGACCACCAGCUAAGGUCCCAAAAUAUAUGUUAAGUGGAAAAGGAUGUGGCGUUGCCCAGACAACUAGGAUGUUGGCUUAGAAGCAGCCAUCAUUUAAAGAGUGCGUAAUAGCUCACUAGUCGAGUGACACUGCGCCGAAAAUGUACCGGGGCUAAACAUAUUACCGAAGCUGUGGAUUGUACUUUGGACAAUGGUAGGAGAGCGUUCUAAGGGCGUUGAAGCAUGAUCGUAAGGACAUGUGGAGCGCUUAGAAGUGAGAAUGCCGGUGUGAGUAGCGAAAGACGGGUGAGAAUCCCGUCUACCGAUUGACUAAGGUUUCCAGAGGAAGGCUCGUCCGCUCUGGGUUAGUCGGGUCCUAAGCUGAGGCCGACAGGCGUAGGCGAUGGAUAACAGGUUGAUAUUCCUGUACCACCUAUAAUCGUUUUAAUCGAUGGGGGGACGCAGUAGGAUAGGCGAAGCGUGCGAUUGGAUUGCACGUCUAAGCAGUAAGGCUGAGUAUUAGGCAAAUCCGGUACUCAUUAAGGCUGAGCUGUGAUGGGGAGAAGACAUUGUGUCUUCGAGUCGUUGAUUUCACACUGCCGAGAAAAGCCUCUAGAUAGAAAAUAGGUGCCCGUACCGCAAACCGACACAGGUAGUCAAGAUGAGAAUUCUAAGGUGAGCGAGCGAACUCUCGUUAAGGAACUCGGCAAAAUGACCCCGUAACUUCGGGAGAAGGGGUGCUCUUUAGGGUUAACGCCCAGAAGAGCCGCAGUGAAUAGGCCCAAGCGACUGUUUAUCAAAAACACAGGUCUCUGCUAAACCGUAAGGUGAUGUAUAGGGGCUGACGCCUGCCCGGUGCUGGAAGGUUAAGAGGAGUGGUUAGCUUCUGCGAAGCUACGAAUCGAAGCCCCAGUAAACGGCGGCCGUAACUAUAACGGUCCUAAGGUAGCGAAAUUCCUUGUCGGGUAAGUUCCGACCCGCACGAAAGGCGUAACGAUUUGGGCACUGUCUCAACGAGAGACUCGGUGAAAUCAUAGUACCUGUGAAGAUGCAGGUUACCCGCGACAGGACGGAAAGACCCCGUGGAGCUUUACUGUAGCCUGAUAUUGAAAUUCGGCACAGCUUGUACAGGAUAGGUAGGAGCCUUUGAAACGUGAGCGCUAGCUUACGUGGAGGCGCUGGUGGGAUACUACCCUAGCUGUGUUGGCUUUCUAACCCGCACCACUUAUCGUGGUGGGAGACAGUGUCAGGCGGGCAGUUUGACUGGGGCGGUCGCCUCCUAAAAGGUAACGGAGGCGCUCAAAGGUUCCCUCAGAAUGGUUGGAAAUCAUUCAUAGAGUGUAAAGGCAUAAGGGAGCUUGACUGCGAGACCUACAAGUCGAGCAGGGUCGAAAGACGGACUUAGUGAUCCGGUGGUUCCGCAUGGAAGGGCCAUCGCUCAACGGAUAAAAGCUACCCCGGGGAUAACAGGCUUAUCUCCCCCAAGAGUUCACAUCGACGGGGAGGUUUGGCACCUCGAUGUCGGCUCAUCGCAUCCUGGGGCUGUAGUCGGUCCCAAGGGUUGGGCUGUUCGCCCAUUAAAGCGGUACGCGAGCUGGGUUCAGAACGUCGUGAGACAGUUCGGUCCCUAUCCGUCGUGGGCGUAGGAAAUUUGAGAGGAGCUGUCCUUAGUACGAGAGGACCGGGAUGGACAUACCUCUGGUGUACCAGUUGUCGUGCCAACGGCAUAGCUGGGUAGCUAUGUGUGGACGGGAUAAGUGCUGAAAGCAUCUAAGCAUGAAGCCCCCCUCAAGAUGAGAUUUCCCAACUUCGGUUAUAAGAUCCCUCAAAGAUGAUGAGGUUAAUAGGUUCGAGGUGGAAGCAUGGUGACAUGUGGAGCUGACGAAUACUAAUCGAUCGAAGACUUAAUCAA
rnacentral:rRNA from 1 species